UGUGCUCUCCCGAUCUUGAAAAGAGGCCCUCACUGCUGGGGAGUGUCUGCCACACUGAGUCCCCCACCACACUGAAUUGCCCCUCCUCACAGUUUCCAUGCAGACCCCUUGAAGAGGGAGGGGCCUAGGGAGCCCCACCUUGUCGUGUACCAUCAAUAAAGUCCCCUGUGCUCAGCCAAAAAA